AUUAAUUUAUACUUAUAGGUAAUGCUGCUUGUAAAUCCUACCAAAGCUGUUACUGUACCAUAUACAAUUUGGAAUAUCAUGACAUCACGCGGCUUAUUGCUUAUUGCUUACAGCUGAUUAGGUCUAUUAAAUUAUGCUAUAUGGAGUCAAUGUCGUCACUAAAAUACUAGACCUGUCGGAUUCUGUAUCUGAUGUUUUUUUUCGCAUUUCAUACGAAUUACUAGUGCGAUGGAUGUUAAAAAACUCAUUGAUGAAAUCGAAAUUUAUUUGACAAAAUGUAUGCGAUAAAAAGAAGGAAAUUAUUUUUAAUCCAUUUAAAUGUGGGCUUAAAAUUUCGAAUUUAGAUAAAAAAAAGACUUAAAUAGAAAGUAUUAUUAACGGGAAGUUUAACCAAAUAUGCACCUAUCCAAGAAGAAAUGUUUAUGCAAGGCGAAUAUAUGUUACAACCUCUCUAAUGACAAAUGAAGAGUGAUUGUGAAAAUAAAAAAGAACAAUUUAAUUUACAAAGGAAAAAUAUAUAACUGAACGACAUUACUGAGGAUAUUUUCUUAAUAAAAUAGAAUACUAGAACAAGGAAAGUCACCAAUGUUGCAAAUUUUAUU